rnacentral:rRNA from 1 species
GUACACACCGCCCGUCACACCAUGGGAGUGGGUUGCUCCAGAAGUCACUAAGCCAACCGCAAGGAGGCAGGUGCCCAAGGAGUGGCUCAUGACUGGGGUGAAGUCGUAACAAGGUAGCCGUAGGUGAACCUGCAGAAGGAUCA